rnacentral:rRNA from 1 species
GUAGGUGGCAAGCGUUGUCCGGAAUUAUUGGGCGUAAAGCGCGCGCAGGUGGUUCUUUAAGUCUGAUGUGAAAGCCCCCGGCUCAACCGGGGAGGGUCAUUGGAAACUGGGGAACUUGAGUGCAGGAGAGGAAAGUGGAAUUUUGUGUGUAGCGGUGAAAUGUGUAGAUAUGUGGAGGAACACCAGUGGCGAAGGCGACUUUCUGGCCUGUAACUGACACUGAGGCGCGAAAGCAUGGGGAGCAAACAGGGAUUAGAUACCCUGGUAGUCCACGCCGUAAACGAUGAGUGCUAAGUGUUGGGGGGGUUUCCCGCCCCUCAGUGCUGCAGCUAACGCAUUAAGCACUCCGCCUGGGGAUACGGUCGCAAGACUG